rnacentral:rRNA from 1 species
CUACGGGGGGCACCAGUGAGGAAUAUUGCACAAUGGGGGGAACCCUGACGCAGCAACGCCGCGUGGAGGAUGACGCAUUUCGGUGUGUAAACUCCUUUUAUAUGUCAAGAAAGUGACGGUAGCAUAUGAAUAAGCACCGGCUAACUCCGUGCCAGCAGCCGCGGUAAUACGGAGGGUGCAAGUGUUACUCGGAAUCACUGGGCGUAAAGGACGCGUAGGCGGGUUGGAAAGUCAGGUGUGAAAUCCUACAGCUUAACUGUAGAACUGCACUUGAAACUUCUAAUCUAGAGUAUGGGAGGGGGAGAUGGAAUUAGUGGUGUAGGGGUAAAAUCCGUAGAUAUCACUAGGAAUACCUAAAGCGAAGGCGAUCUCCUGGAACAUUACUGACGCUAAGGCGUGAAAGCGUGGGGAGCAAACAGGAUUAGAUACCCUCGUAGUC